rnacentral:rRNA from 1 species
GAUGAACGCUAGCGGCAGGCCUAAUACAUGCAAGUCGGACGGGAUUUUGGAGCUUGCUUCAAAUGAGAGUGGCGCACGGGUGCGUAACACGUAUGUAACCUACCUUGUUCAGGGGGAUAGCCUCUCGAAAGAGAGAUUAAGACCGCAUAAAAUCACAAUGUGGCAUCACAAAAUGAUCAAAUAUUUAUAGGAACAAGAUGGGCAUGCGGAACAUAGCUAGUUGGUAAGGUAACGGCUUACCAAGGCUACGAUGUUUAGGGGAUCUGAGAGGAUGACCCCCCACACUGGUACUGAGACACGGACCAGACUCCUACGGGAGGCAGCAGUAAGGAAUAUUGGUCAAUGGGCGCAAGCCUGAACCAGCCAUGCCGCGUGCAGGGAA